rnacentral:rRNA from 1 species
CCUACGGGGGACAGCAGUGGGGAAUAUUGCACAAUGGGGGAAACCCUGAUGCAGCGACGCCGCGUGAGUGAUGAAGUAUUUCGGUAUGUAAAGCUCUAUCAGCAGGGAAGAUAAUGACGGUACCUGACUAAGAAGCUCCGGCUAAAUACGUGCCAGCAGCCGCGGUAAUACGUAUGGAGCAAGCGUUAUCCGGAUUUACUGGGUGUAAAGGGAGCGCAGACGGCAGGGCAAGUCUGAUGUGAAAGUCCGGGGCUCAACCCCGGGACUGCAUUGGAAACUGUCCGGCUAGAGUGCAGGAGAGGUAAGUGGAAUUCCUAGUGUAGCGGUGAAAUGCGUAGAUAUCACGAAGAACUCCGAUUGCGAAGGCAGCCUACUAAACUGCCACUGACAUUGAUGCUCGAAAGUGUGGGUAUCAAACAGGAUUAGAUACCCGUGUAGUC